GCGUAUAUGCCAAAAUGCAUGAUUCCAGAAUUCCAAACCAAAACCCUCCUCGAAGGGCGUAAAUCAUAAUUGUACAGCCUCUCACAGACCAGUACUAAUUACCAAGGUGCAAUCUCUCACGGAUCAGCAUGAUUUACUAGCGUGCAGUCUCUCACAGACCAGCACGACAUACAAGAGUGCAGUCGCUCACAGACCAGCACAAUUUACUAGCGUGCAGUCUCUCACAGACCAACACGAUUUUCUAGAGUGCAAU
rnacentral:lncRNA from 1 species